rfam:Atta cephalotes unplaced genomic scaffold scaffold00042, whole genome shotgun sequence.
GAACGCUUCACGGUUUUGCGUGUCGAUACAGAGAAGAUGAGCAUGGCUCCUACGCAAGGAUGACCGCAAAACCGUGAAGCAUUCCACAUUUUU